UACGGGGGGGGUAAGCGUUGUUCGGAAUUACUGGGCGUAAAGGCUCGUAGGCGGCCAACUAAGUCAGACGUGAAAUCCCUCAGCUUAACUGGGGACUGCGUCUGAUACUGGAUGGCUUGGAUUCGGGAGAGGAAUGCGGAAUUCCAGGUGUAGCGGUGAAAUGCGUAGAUAUCUGGAGGAACACCGGUGGCGAAGGCGGCAUCCUGGACCGGCAUUGACGCUGAGGCGCGAAAGCCAGGGGAGCAAACGGG
rnacentral:rRNA from 1 species